rnacentral:misc_RNA from 1 species
GAGGAAUUGCGGUAGAAUGAGCCCUGUAGCAUGCAGAUAAUUGGGAAUUUUCUCCCUUUUUUUAAUACCAUGUUACCAGUGUCAUUCCUAUUUUAAAAUAUUUUAAAGGUGAAAAGUAAGGAGAAAACUUUCCCUUGUUUGGAAAAAAGAGGUAAAAGUUAAAGGAGGAAAAUAACAUUAAACUUUCUUCUUUUAAAGUUAGAGAAAAAGGGAGAGAUAAGUUCCGUUUUUUCUCCACUUAUGAUAGUCUCCAAAUGCCCCUUGACAAUUAGAGCUGUUCUUAUAAAUUUACUACAUUAAAACUUCAUCUCAAUUGAUUAAAACAAAUAAGCAAAUAAAAUAAUGCCAACAAAAACAGCAAGAAGAAAUAUCCUACUACCAUUAGAACUGUUUAAAAGACAGUUAACAAAAACAUUGGAAUCUUUCAGUUUUAGAUCCCACCUUUCAUGCAAAGUGCAUGGAAUGCAUAUGCAUUUAUCAUACUUUAAUGGUUGAUCACCAAAGGACACAUCUUAAGGCAUUUUGCUUGAGCGUCACCCAAAGGCAAAAAUCAAGACACACAGAAGCCAAAGCAUUUUCAAAUAAGCCAUGUAACUGGACUUAAAGGGAGCAAGGUAAUGAAAUUUAAUUAUUCACUGUGCAUUCCAUUAAGAAUUUGCAACACCAACGAUUCAAGUGUAUUUGGUCCCUCAGAAUCAAGACACAAAUCUAGCCAAAGGUAACUUUUUUUUCGCAACUUAUGGACUCUUUUGAAAUUUGGAACACAAAAGCAGAUUUUUGGGAGUUUACCACAACAUUGUCUCAUCAGAAAA